AUACGGAGGGGACAAGCGUUAUUCGGAAUCACUGGGCGUAAAGGACGCGUAGGCGGGUUAUUAAGUCGGGUGUGAAAUCCAAUGGCUCAACCAUUGAACUGCAUUCGAAACUGAUAACCUAGAGUAUGGAAGGGGCAGGUGGAAUUAGUGGUGUAGUGGUAAAAUCCGUAGAUAUCACUAGGAAUACCGAAAGCGAAGGCGACCUGCUGGGACAUUACUGACGCUGAGGCGUGAAAGCGUGGGGAGCAAACAGGAUUAGAUACCCCAGUAGUCC
rnacentral:rRNA from 1 species